AAGACCUUGCGCUUUUGGAGCGGCCGAUGCCUGAUUAGCUUGUUGGUAAGGUAAAAGCUUACCAAGGCUUCGAUCAGUAGCUGGUCUGAGAGGACGGCCAGCCACACUGGGACUGAGACACGGCCCAGACUCCUACGGGAGGCAGCAGUGGGGAAUUUUGGACAAUGGGGGCAACCCUGAUCCAGCCAUGCCGCGUGAGUGAAGAAGGCCUUCGGGUUGUAAAGCUCUUUCAGCCGGAACGAAACGGUUACGGUUAAUACCCGUGACUACUGACGGUACCGGAAGAAGAAGCACCGGCUAACUACGUGCCAGCAGCCGCGGUAAUACGUAGGGUGCGAGCGUUAAUCGGAAUUACUGGGCGUAAAGCGUGCGCAGGUGGUUUUGUAAGUCAGAUGUGAAAGCCCCGGGCUCAACCUGGGAACU
rnacentral:rRNA from 1 species